rnacentral:rRNA from 2 species
AAAUUGAAGAGUUUGAUCAUGGCUCAGAUUGAACGCUGGCGGCAGGCCUAACACAUGCAAGUCGAACGGUAGCACAGAGAGCUUGCUCUCGGGUGACGAGUGGCGGACGGGUGAGUAAUGUCUGGGAAACUGCCCGAUGGAGGGGGAUAACUACUGGAAACGGUAGCUAAUACCGCAUAACGUCGCAAGACCAAAGUGGGGGACCUUCGGGCCUCACACCAUCGGAUGUGCCCAGAUGGGAUUAGCUAGUAGGUGGGGUAACGGCUCACCUAGGCGACGAUCCCUAGCUGGUCUGAGAGGAUGACCAGCCACACUGGAACUGAGACACGGUCCAGACUCCUACGGGAGGCAGCAGUGGGGAAUAUUGCACAAUGGGCGCAAGCCUGAUGCAGCCAUGCCGCGUGUAUGAAGAAGGCCUUCGGGUUGUAAAGUACUUUCAGCGAGGAGGAAGGCGUUGUGGUUAAUAACCACAGCGAUUGACGUUACUCGCAGAAGAAGCACCGGCUAACUCCGUGCCAGCAGCCGCGGUAAUACGGAGGGUGCAAGCGUUAAUCGGAAUUACUGGGCGUAAAGCGCACGCAGGCGGUUUGUUAAGUCAGAUGUGAAAUCCCCGGGCUCAACCUGGGAACUGCAUUUGAAACUGGCAAGCUUGAGUCUCGUAGAGGGGGGUAGAAUUCCAGGUGUAGCGGUGAAAUGCGUAGAGAUCUGGAGGAAUACCGGUGGCGAAGGCGGCCCCCUGGACAAAGACUGACGCUCAGGUGCGAAAGCGUGGGGAGCAAACAGGAUUAGAUACCCUGGUAGUCCACGCCGUAAACGAUGUCUACUUGGAGGUUGUGCCCUUGAGGCGUGGCUUCCGGAGCUAACGCGUUAAGUAGACCGCCUGGGGAGUACGGCCGCAAGGUUAAAACUCAAAUGAAUUGACGGGGGCCCGCACAAGCGGUGGAGCAUGUGGUUUAAUUCGAUGCAACGCGAAGAACCUUACCUGGUCUUGACAUCCACGGAAGUUUUCAGAGAUGAGAAUGUGCCUUCGGGAACCGUGAGACAGGUGCUGCAUGGC